rnacentral:pre_miRNA from 18 species
AAUUCCAAAGAGCUGUGAAUUUGGAUAGCUGUGCUCUGAGGAAAUAACAAUAGUCACACCCCAUGUCAUUUCAUCAGGCCAUAGCUGUCCAAAUUUCUCGGUUCG